CACGUAGGGCGCAAGCGUUGUCCGGAAUUAUUGGGCGUAAAGAGCUCGUAGGCGGUCUGUUGCGUCCGCUGUGAAAACUCGGGGCUUAACCCCGAGCCUGCAGUGGAUACGGGCAGACUAGAGGUAGGUAGGGGAGAAUGGAAUUCAUGGUGUAGCAGUGAAAUGCGUAGAGAUCAUGAGGAAGACCAGUGGCGAAGGCGGCUCACUGGACUGGUAUUGACGCUGAGGUGCGAAAGCGUGGGGAGCAAACAGG
rnacentral:rRNA from 1 species